UGAACCUGCUCCCGAUCAGGUUUGACCUAGCAGAACUGUUGCCAUGACAUCAAUUCUCGGAUCAGCUUUGAAGAACGAAACGAUCCUGGAUCGUGUCAAAUCGUCAAUAUCCAAAUCCAGCUAACUGAGUAAUCCACGUACGAAGAACGGACCCCAGGAUGUCAAUAGAGACACUUUUAGGAAGGGAAGUAAACUGUGUCAUAUAUUUGACAAAAGUUAAAAAGGCAUCAAUGCUUCAAAAUAGGAUGGAUAACUGGGAUGCCUGAAUGAUGAUCACAGAAAUCCUAAAUGAAGGCAGUAGUUCCUAAAGGAAGACCACACCUGUGUUUGUUUACUUCAAGGGAUAUCAUGGGAAUUGCACAAAGCAUCAUUGGUGAUUGAGAUCGAAUGCAGCGCGAAAACUUCCAUGUCAGGGAAAGAGAAAGUAUUUUAAUUUAAUUUCCCUCUUGAUGCUGACAAUGUAUUAGAAGUAGGAGGAAUUAUGUGAAGAGUCAUCAAUGGCAAUGAUCAAAUGCAGUGCAGAAACUUCCACAUCAGGGAAAGAGACAGUAGGGGAAUUUAAUGUCCUUCUUGAUUUGAGCAGAGUUUCUAUCCAAA
rnacentral:lncRNA from 1 species